GUUGUGCGCUUAAAGGCAUGAAUGUUCUUCCUUUCUCUUUCGUUUGGUUAUUAGUAUGCCACCUGGAAGUGUGAUUGCAGUUGCAAUAACGGCAAUUUGCUUAUUUUAUGGCACGUUAAGCACGCCAUUGAUGAAAAAAGAGACACUCAGAAAAUUAUUUUAAAUU
rnacentral:rRNA from 1 species